CCUACGGGAGACAGCAGUGGGGCAUAUUGGGCAAUGGGCGCAAGCCUGACCCAGCAACGCCGCGUGAAGGAAGAAGGCUCUCGGGUUGUAAACUUCUUUUGACCGGGAAGCGUGGCAGACGGUACCUGUCGAAUAAGCCACGGCUAACUACGUGCCAGCAGCCGCGGUCAUACGUAGGUGGCAAGCGUUGUCCGGAUUUACUGGGUGUAAAGGGCGUGUAGCCGGGUUGACAAGUCAGAUGUGAAAUCCUGCGGCUUAACCGCAGAAGUGCAGUUGAAACUGUUGAUCUUGAGUACUGGAGAGGCAGACGGAAUGCCUGGUGUAGCGGUGAAAUGCGUAGAUAUUAGGAGGAACACC
rnacentral:rRNA from 1 species